rnacentral:rRNA from 1 species
UACGUAGGGGGCAAGCGUUGUCCGGAAUCAUUGGGCGUAAAGCGCGCGUAGGCGGCCCCGUAAGUCCGCUGUAAAAGUCAAAGGCUCAACCUUUGAAAGCCGGUGGAUACUGCAGGGCUAGAGUCCGGAAGAGGCGAGUGGAAUUCCUGGUGUAGCGGUGGAAUGCGCAGAUAUCAGGAGGAACACCAAUAGCGAAGGCAGCUCGCUGGGACGGUACUGACGCUAAGGCGCGAAAGCGUGGGGAGCGAACAGG